ACCUGCAGUCGAGCGGAACGAGUUAUCUGAACCUUCGGGGAACGAUAACGGCGUCGAGCGGCGGACGGGUGAGUAAUGCCUAGGAAAUUGCCCUGAUGUGGGGGAUAACCAUUGGAAACGAUGGCUAAUACCGCAUGAUGCCUACGGGCCAAAGAGGGGGACCUUCGGGCCUCUCGCGUCAGGAUAUGCCUAGGUGGGAUUAGCUAGUUGGUGAGGUAAGGGCUCACCAAGGCGACGAUCCCUAGCUGGUCUGAGAGGAUGAUCAGCCACACUGGAACUGAGACACGGUCCAGACUCCUACGGGAGGCAGCAGUGGGGAAUAUUGCACAAUGGGCGCAAGCCUGAUGCAGCCAUGCCGCGUGUAUGAAGAAGGCCUUCGGGUUGUAAAGUACUUUCAGUCGUGAGGAAGGCGGCGUCGUUAAUAGCGGCGUUGUUUGACGUUAGCGACAGAAGAAGCACCGGCUAACUCCGUGCCAGCAGCCGCGGUAAUACGGAGGGUGCGAGCGUUAAUCGGAAUUACUGGGCGUAAAGCGCAUGCAGGUGGUUUGUUAAGUCAGAUGUGAAAGCCCGGGGCUCAACCUCGGAAUAGCAUUUGAAACUGGCAGACUAGAGUACUGUAGAGGGGGGUAGAAUUUCAGGUGUAGCGGUGAAAUGCGUAGAGAUCUGAAGGAAUACCGGUGGCGAAGGCGGCCCCCUGGACAGAUACUGACACUCAGAUGCGAAAGCGUGGGGAGCAAACAGGAUUAGAUACCCUGGUAGUCCACGCCGUAAACGAUGUCUACUUGGAGGUUGUGGCCUUGAGCCGUGGCUUUCGGAGCUAACGCGUUAAGUAGACCGCCUGGGGAGUACGGUCGCAAGAUUAAAACUCAAAUGAAUUGACGGGGGCCCGCACAAGCGGUGGAGCAUGUGGUUUAAUUCGAUGCAACGCGAAGAACCUUACCUACUCUUGACAUCCAGAGAACUUUCCAGAGAUGGAUUGGUGCCUUCGGGAACUCUGAGACAGGUGCUGCAUGGCUGUCGUCAGCUCGUGUUGUGAAAUGUUGGGUUAAGUCCCGCAACGAGCGCAACCCUUAUCCUUGUUUGCCAGCGAGUAAUGUCGGGAACUCCAGGGAAACUGCCG
rnacentral:rRNA from 1 species